UCUGAUGAUGCCUCUGUGGAUUCUAGAGGUACCCUUUUCAAAUUCCUCUUUUUUAAUUUCAUUAUCUUUACUUGUUUUCUUCGUUUUAAGUACUUAAUGGCUGACUUUGAUUUCUUUUCUUAUGAUAAGUUUGUGGAGAUUAAAGUUUUUGUUUUAGGUUACUCUAUUUGAAAGUUAUUCCAAUGAAUCCUUUUGCUAUGAUAUUAAAUAACUUAGUAUUUUCAUCGGGUGUUUGUUGCAGACCAAUCCAGUCAAGACUCAAAGCUUGAAUUCUCAGAGGAUGAAGAAACCCUUAUAACUAGGAUGUUCAACCUGGUGGUCUCUGAUUGCUGGAAGAAUUCCUGGAAGAACAGCCGAGGAAAUUGAAAAGUACUGGACUUCAAGAUACUCUACCAGUGAAUGAAUUGAGAAAGCCCUUUUAAAAAUGAUAUGCUUCUCAGUUUUGGGCCUGGAAAAUUUUUGGGGUUGUACCAAAGUAUAGUAUGAAACUUUGUACAGCACUAUGCGGUUUAAGUUGUAAUCAAAUGGGGCAUUUCUUAUAGAUGCCAGUGUCUUGUACCAUGGUUCUUUUUGUGUGCCUACUAAUAUUUUGAUUUUAAGCUUAUGUGAUGUGAUUCAUGAGCUCAGGUGUAUGUGAAUAUAUGGUAAAAAGCAUUUGGGUGA